UUGCCGCGUGCCUAUUAACGUCCUGAACAUCGAUUCCAUCGGCAGAUUAUUCCUGGUCUGACCCAAAUAUAGUAAGAAGCCACCUAUCGUUUUCUUUGUUGUGGUGCGUUUGCUACAUACAAAUUUAUAUAUUUUUC